CCUGCAAACCCCCACCUCCCGCCUGCGGCGCUCCUGCCCCCGGGCCGCGGCGGGGCGGCCGCUGCCGGUACCUGAGAUCAGCGCGGCGGUUCCCGGCGUCGGGAAGGCCCCCUCGCAGCCCGCGGGACUCUCCCGGCGGGAGCUGCGGACACAGGGCGGGCACAGAGCCGGCCAUGCCCACACCCCCGGCCCCGCCCCGGCCCCUCUGCGCAUGCGCGCCGUCGUGUUUACUGUUUGGUUGCCGAGGCGGCGCGCGCGGGCGCGCCAGGGACGUGACGUGACGUCCCGCGCCCCACGGGGACGCCGCGAGCCAGCGCCGUGACGCGCGCGCUUCCGGCCGUGCCCAUAUAUGGCAAAGCGGCAGCGCGGCGCUUCCCGGGGUGGCGCGGGGCGCGUGAGGCGGGAACGGCGCGGGAGGGAGCGCGGGCGGACGGGGGGGCACCGGGACGGGCGGCCCCGCCCCAGGAUGCCCACGGUGGGCUAACAAGGGAGCCUGGUCCCCGCUCCCCCCCCCGCCGGCACUCUCGUUCCCUUUGUGGGCUGAGGUGUCCGGAGAAGGAACGGGGGUUUUCCCACAGCUGGGUGCUGAGACCCAGGCGGGCUUACGCGUAACGGCUUGUAGCUCCUGCUGUCCCUAACUAAGUUUCCCUGGCAGCACCCCUCCACCUGGAAAUCUCCAUAGUCAGCUUUGAGCUGGAAGAAUUGACCUGUGAUGGUGGAAAAUCAAAGCACAAGAGCUAUGACUGCAGUGUACCAGGUGACCAGGCACCUGUAUCCUUGAACACUUGCUCUGCCGGUUCUCAUGUCAUUUGUUUUGUUGUUGCUUUGCCAGUAAAUCUGACUCUACUGCUUUUGGUCAAAAUGGAACGGGAAGCCUGCCAAAAAAGUUGUGAGAGCCAGUCAAAAAUAAAUGGAUUAUUCAGAGGAAAUAAAGUUCUGGAAAAAAAUUAAA